AGUCGAACGAGAAUCUGCUGAAGGAGGAUUCGUCCAACGGAAGCAGAGGAAAGUGGCGGACGGGUGAGUAACGCGUGAGGAACCUGCCUUGAAGAGGGGGACAACAGUUGGAAACGACUGCUAAUACCGCAUGACGCAUAGAGGUCGCAUGAUCUUUAUGCCAAAGAUUUAUCGCUUCAAGAUGGCCUCGCGUCUGAUUAGCUGGUUGGCGGGGUAACGGCCCACCAAGGCGACGAUCAGUAGCCGGACUGAGAGGUUGAACGGCCACAUUGGGACUGAGAUACGGCCCAGACUCCUACGGGAGGCAGCAGUGGGGAAUAUUGGGCAAUGGGCGCAAGCCUGACCCAGCAACGCCGCGUGAAGGAAGAAGGCUUUCGGGUUGUAAACUUCUUUUAAGAGGGAAGAGCAGAAGACGGUACCUCUAGAAUAAGCCACGGCUAACUACGUGCCAGCAGCCGCGGUAAUACGUAGGUGGCAAGCGUUGUCCGGAUUUACUGGGUGUAAAGGGCGUGCAGCCGGGUCUGCAAGUCAGAUGUGAAAUCCAUGGGCUCAACCCAUGAACUGCAUUUGAAACUGUGGAUCUUGAGUGUCGGAGGGGCAAUCGGAAUUCCUAGUGUAGCGGUGAAAUGCGUAGAUAUUAGGAGGAGCACCAGUGGCGAAGGCGGAUUGCUGGACGAUAACUGACGGUGAGGCGCGAAAGUGUGGGGAGCAA
rnacentral:rRNA from 1 species